rnacentral:rRNA from 1 species
UACGUAGGGGGCUAGCGUUGUCCGGAAUCAUUGGGCGUAAAGAGCGUGUAGGCGGUCCGGUAAGUCCGCUGUAAAAGUCCAGGGCUCAACCCUGGAAAGCCGGUGGAUACUGUCGGGCUCGAGUCCGGAAGAGGCGAGUGGAAUUCCUGGUGUAGCGGUGGAAUGCGCAGAUAUCAGGAGGAACACCGAUGGCGAAGGCAGCUCGCUGGGACGGUACUGACGCUGAGGCGCGAAAGCGUGGGGAGCGAACAGG